CUUGUACUCCCUCCGUCCGAAAAUACUUGUCAUUGAAAUGUAUGUAUCUAGAUGUAUUUUAGUUCUAGACACAUCCAUUUUGAUGACAAGUAAUUCCGGAUGGAGGGAGUACUUG
rnacentral:pre_miRNA from 1 species